rnacentral:piRNA from 1 species
UAGACAAAGCUGUUUAAAGUUCUUAAUAUC